UACAGAGACUGCGAGCGUUAUUCGGAUUCACUGGGCGUAAAGGGUGCGCAGGCGGCCGAGUGUGUGAGGCGUGGAAAGCCCGGGGCUUAACCCCGGAAUUGCACCUCAAACUACACGGCUAGAGCAUUGGAGAGGGUAGCAGAAUUCACGGUGUAGCAGUGAAAUGCGUAGAUAUCAAGAGGAACACCUGAGGUGAAGACGGGUUGCUGGGCUGACACUGACGCUGAGGCGCGAAAGCCAGGGGAGCAAACGGG
rnacentral:rRNA from 1 species